rnacentral:rRNA from 1 species
GACGAACGCUGGCGGCGUGCUUAACACAUGCAAGUCGAACGGAAAGACCCUGCUUUUGUGGGGUGCUCGAGUGGCGAACGGGUGAGUAACACGUGAGUAACCUGCCCUUGACUUUGGGAUAACUUCAGGAAACUGGGGCUAAUACCGGAUAGGAGCUCCUGCUGCAUGGUGGGGGUUGGAAAGUUUCGGCGGUUGGGGCUGGACGCGCGGCUUAUCAGCUUGUUGGGGGGGGAGUGGCUUACCAAGGCUUUGACGGGUAGCCGGCCUGGGAGGGUGACCGGCCACAUUGGGCCUGAGAUACGGCCCAGACUCCUACGGGAGGCAGCAGUGGGGAAUAUUGCCCAAUGGGCGGAAGCCUGAUGCAGCAACGCCGCGUGCGGGAUGACGGCCUUCGGGUUGUAAACCGCUUUCGCCUGUGACGAAGCGUGAGUGACGGUAAUGGGUAAAGAAGCACCGGCUAACUACGUG